rnacentral:lncRNA from 1 species
GUUAGGGAUUGAACUCAGGUGUGGACAUGAAGCUAGGGUUAGGGUUGAACUAGGGUGUGGACAUGAAGCUAGGGUUAGGGUUGAAUUAGGGUGUGGACAUGAAGCUAGGGUUAGAGUUGAACUAGGAUGUGGACAUGAGGCUAGGGUUAGGGUUGAGGCUAGGGUUAGGGUUGAAAUAGGGUGUGGACAUGAGGCUAGGGUUAGGGUUGAAAUAGGGUGUGGACAUGAAGCUAGGUUUAUGGUUGAGGCUAGGGUGUGGACAUGAAGCUAGGUUUGUGUUGAGGCUAGAUUUAGGGUUGAACUAGGGUGUGGACAUGAAGCUAGGGUUAGAGUUGAACUAGGAUGUGGACAUGAAGCUAGGGUUAGAGUUGAGGCUAGGGUUAGGCUUGAACUCAGGUGUGGACAUGAAGCUAGGGUUAGGGUUGAACUAGGGUGUGGACAUGAGGCUAGGGUUAGGGUUGAACUAGGGUGUGGACAUGAAGCUAGGGUUAGGGUUGAACUAGUGUGUGGACAUGAAGCUAGGGUUAGGGUUGAGGCUAGGGUUAGGUUUGAACUUAGGUGUGGACAUGAAGCUAGGGUUAGGGUUGAACUAGUGUGUGGACAUGAAGCUAGGGUUAGGGUUGAGGCUAGGGUUAGGGUUGAACUAGGGUGUGGACAUGAAGCUAGGGUUAGGGUUGAACUAGGGUGUGGACAUGAAGCUAGGGUUAGGGUUGAACUAGGGUGUGGACAUGAAGCUAGGCUUAGGGUUGAGGUUAGGGUUGAACUAGGGUGUGGACAUGAAGCUAGGUUUAUGGUUGAGGCUAGGGUGUGGACAUGAAGCUAGGCUUAGUGUUGAGGCUAGGUUUAGGGUUGAACUAGGGAUGUGGACAUGAAGCUAGGGUUAGUGUUACUACUGUUACCGAAAAUACUUGCCCAACAGAAACUGUAAGUAUUGAUUACAUUCCUACACUCCUUGUUGAUAAUGACGACUCAUUUCCAUCACAUCUACUGUUGCAUGCUGGAUUAUUUG